rnacentral:rRNA from 1 species
GAUUCCCUACGGGGUNCNGCAGGCGCGAAAACUUUGCAAUGCGGGAAACCGUGACAAGGGAACUCUGAGUGCCCGUAAAAUCGGGCUGUCCAUCAGUUUAAAUAACUGGUGAAGAAAGGGCCGGGCAAGACCGGUGCCAGCCGCCGCGGUAAUACCGGCGGCUCGAGUGGUGGCCACUAUUACUGGGCUUAAAGCGUUCGUAGCUGGUUUGUUAAGUCCCUGGGGAAAUCUUCCGGCUUAACCGGAAGGCGUCUCAGGGAUACUGGCAGACUAGGGACCGGGAGAGGUGAGGGGUACUCCAGGGGUAGGAGUGAAAUCCUGUAAUCCA